GGUUCGAUGGCGGACGGUCCGCGCCUGCCCACGGUACCCAGCAUUCAUGGUGUCUACAUAGCGCAGGAGACGCUCGUUCGACCCGGGCUCGAACCU